rnacentral:rRNA from 1 species
GAUGAACGCUAGCUACAGGCUUAACACAUGCAAGUCGAGGGGAAACGACAUCGAAAGCUUGCUUUUGAUGGGCGUCGACCGGCGCACGGGUGAGUAACGCGUAUCCAACCUGCCCACCACUUGGGGAUAACCUUGCGAAAGUAAGACUAAUACCCGAUGAUAUCUCUAUAAGACAUCUGAAAGGGAUUAAAGAUUUAUCGGUGAUGGAUGGGGAUGCGUCUGAUUAGCUUGUUGGCGGGGUAACGGCCCACCAAGGCGACGAUCAGUAGGGGUUCUGAGAGGAAGGUCCCCCACAUUGGAACUGAGACACGGUCCAAACUCCUACGGGAGGCAGCAGUGAGGAAUAUUGGUCAAUGGGCGAGAGCCUGAACCAGCCAAGUAGCGUGCAGGAUGACGGCCCUAUGGGUUGUAAACUGCUUUUAUAAGGGAAUAAAGUGAGUCUCGUGAGACUUUUUGCAUGUACCUUAUGAAUAAGGACCGGCUAAUUCCGUG